rnacentral:lncRNA from 1 species
AUGGUUGAAGAGUCCAAUUAAAUUGUGACUCAGGUGAAGAGUCCUACUUGGACUAGGACUUUAUGGGAGAGUCUCACUGGGACUGAGACUCUAUCAUUUAUGAAGAAUUAAUUAGUAACUAGAUUACUAAUUGACUCAAUUUGAUUAAGUAAAGAGCUUUAGAAUAAGUCUAAUUGAAUUAGAUUUAGUUCGACUCAGAUUGGGAUUGAUAUGAUCAAAUCUGAUUAUAAGAAUUUGAUCUUGAUUCGAUCAGGGUAUGAACUCAGCUAAUUCCUAAUAGAGCUAGAAAUUUGAUAAGAUAUUUAAAUUUCUAAUUGAAU